rnacentral:rRNA from 1 species
UUAGAGUUUGAUCCUGGCUCAGGAUGAACGCUAGCGGCAGGCUUAACACAUGCAAGUCGAGGGGCAGCAUGUCCAGCAAUGGAUGAUGGCGACCGGCGGAAGGGUGCGUAACGCGUGAGCAACAUGCCCUAUACAGGGAGAUACACCAGGGAAACUUGGUCUAAUAUCCCAUAGCAUUCAUUGAAGGCAUCUUUAAUGAAUUAAAGCUUCGGUGGUAUAGGAUUGGCUCGCGUGACAUUAGCCAGAUGGUGAGGUAACGGCUCACCAUAGCAAUGAUGUCUAGGGGUUUUGAGAGGAAGGCCCCCCACACUGGGACUGAGACACGGCCCAGACUCCUACGGGAGGCAGCAGUGAGGAAUAUUGGACAAUGGAUGGAAAUCUGAUCCAGCCAUGCCGCGUGCAGGAAGACGGCCUUAUGGGUUGUAAACUGCUUUUAUACGGGAGCAAUAAGGGUUACGAGUAAUCCGAUGAGAGUACUGUAUGAAUAAGGAUCGGCUAACUCCGUGCCAGCAGCCGCGGUAAUACGGAGGAUCCGAGCGUUAUCCGGAAUUAUUGGGUUUAAAGGGUGCGUAGGCGGCCAUUUAGGUCAGCGGUGAAAUUUUGCAGCUUAACUGUAACAGUGCCGUUGAUACUGUUUGGCUAGGAUUUGGUUGUAGUGUGCGGAAUGUGUGGUGUAGCGGUGAAAUGCUUAGAUAUCACACAGAACACCGAUUGCGAAGGCAGCACACUAAGUCAUUAUUGACGCUGAGGCACGAAAGUGUGGGGAUCAAACAGGAUUAGAUACCCUGGUAGUCCACACUGUAAACGAUGAUAACUCGCUGUCGGCGAUACACAAAUCGGUGGCCAAGCGAAAGCAUUAAGUUAUCCACCUGGGGAGUACGACCGCCAGGUUGAAACUCAAAGGAAUUGACGGGGGCCCGCACACGCGGAGGAACAUGUGGUUUAAUUCGAUGAGACGCGAGGAACCUUACCCGGGCUCGAACGGUGCAUGAAUAUACGAGAGAUUGUAUAGUCCUUCGGGACAUGUAUCGAGGUGCUGCAUGGUUGUCGUCAGCUCGUGCCGUGAGGUGUCGGCUUAAGUCCCGCAACGAGCGCAACCCUUAUUGUUAGUUGCCAUCAUUAAGUUGGGCGCUCUUGCGGGGCUGCCCGGGUUGUCCGGGGGGGGGGUGGGG